UCCUCGGUAGUAUAGUGGUCAGUAUCCCCGCCUGUCACGCGGGAGACCGGGGUUCGAUUCCCAGCCGGGGAG
rnacentral:tRNA from 1 species